rfam:Oryza sativa Japonica Group DNA, chromosome 7, cultivar: Nipponbare, complete sequence.
AUAGAGGUGUUUUUAAAUACCAUCUAUAAUUACUUUGAAAUGACAU